CCAAGCCGAGGCAGGGGACCGCAGGUGGCGAAGCGAGCCACCCGGAAGCGGGACCUUCGGGAAGUGGGGCUGGAGCGGCUUCAGGGAAGUAAGAGGACCUUGCAGACCGUGAGGCCGCGAACCAGGAAAGGCUUCUCCAGGCCCUAGGCUUGAGGAAGUGGGAGUAACCAGGCUCCAUGGGCGGAGGAGAGGACCCCCGGGGUCCCACAAAUGAAGCCAGUAGGCCGGGCUUCCGUCCAAGGCCACCUGCCUGGAGAUGCCAGGCCAGGGCCCGACUGCGUAGGCGAUGAGAAACCGCACAGGGCAAGGCUUUGAUUCUGGGUUCUAGCUCCGGUCCAGCUUUAUCUCACUGUGCAGCUUCAUGCCAACCCCUUACCUUGUCGGGGCCCCAAUACGCGCCAGAUAGGGUCAAAUGGAAUGACUGGCCUGACAAGCUGAGAUUCUUGGGUAGCUCCUUUCAAAAUACCUGAGACACCACCCGCGCCCUAUUAGAACCCUCGUCUUCAGACGUGGCAAAAGUUAUGUAUGUGUUUGUUCUUUUGUGGAAAAGAAUAGUUCCGUCUGGUCCCGGUGGCUCACGCCUGUAAUCCCA
rnacentral:lncRNA from 1 species